UUUAUCAUAUAUAUACUUAUAUCGGAUAUUUAUUUAUAUAUCCAAACUGUCGCUAACAAGAUAGCAGCAGGAUGUAUUUACUGACUGGUCAUUACUGAGUAGUAAAAUAUACUGGUUUCUUUGCUUUCUAUUCAUUAUCUCCUUUCUUUGACCUACAUAGUCCCUCAUGACCUCCAUUUGUGUACCAGAGCACACAUAAGCCUGCACUCACAUACAUGAACACAUGUACACACACACACACACACACACACACACACACACACACACACACACACACAUAUUCAUGAAGGACAGAAACUUCAUAAAAUGAAAGUGUCAGCUGAGGAUUAGCACUCAUCUGUCUCUGUUCUCUGAGUGUAGACACAGACUGACCACUGUCUCAAGCCUAGGUUGCCAUGCCUUCUUGGCCAUAGUGAUCUAUGUGUUCAAAGUGUAAGCGAAAGUAAACUGUUCACCUGCAAGAGGCUUGUCGGGUUAUUUUGUAACAUCAGAGUAACAGGAAAUGUAAGUAGUACAAGAAAAUCAUAAGCCUGUAUGGUUGCACUCACGUACAAUCCAAACACUGAAUGUGUAGGAACAGAAAGACUGGACAUUCUCAGCAACUAUCCUGCCUCUUUACUUCUUUUUGUGCUACUUAUUUUGAGAAAAGUUCUAAAUUAUCUACCUGGACUUCAAAUUAUUCUGAAGCUUUCUUACAUAGUCCCAUGGGCAAAGGCGGUCUUCCCGCCUAAGGUUACUAAGUAGCUGGGAAAACCAGCCAGGCAUCAUGAAACUUAGCUUCAAAAUUCAUCUUAAAUAGUGACAAAUUUGCUUUUUUGUGUAAGUACUUUUAAGUUACAUUGAGUCAAUGUGAAUUUUCCAUGCUACAAUAAGAUUCUAUAGUAAAUAGAGUUUAAAAACUUUUUUUGAGGCGUGUGUGUGUGUAUGUGUGUGUGUGUGUGUGUGUGUGUGUGUGUGUGUGUGUGUGUUGGAGAGGGAUGUCUUAAGUGUGUAUGAGCGAAGGUACUCACAGAGGUCAGGAGAGGGAGUGGAAUCCCUUGGCUCUGGAGUUACGGGUAUUUGUAAUCCAUCUGGCCUGGGUACUGAGAAAUGAAGUUGGGUUUUCUGGUAGAGCAGUGCAUGCUCUUAACUGCAGAACCAUCUCUCUAGCUCCAGAUAUGAAGCUUUAACUUACAAAGAACAACCGAAUCUGCUGCAUGAAUUUAAUGGCUAGUACUGUCAAAGGCUCCAUUCAUAUUAAACAUGUCAACUCGUACUAUCAACCUGGAAUUUAAAAAGCUGAAGAAGUAUGCAUGGCAUCGUCCAACGAAGCUAGCCAGAAGAGGUGUAUUCAGUGAGACCUCCAAGGAAGGAGAUGCCAAGUAGUGCUUCAAAGCUUCGGACCACAAUCAAACACAGCAUCCUUUUCAACAGAAGCAGAAGCUCAUCUGAAUAUGCUCAAGGAUGCUGACAUCAACAUUUAAUCAUCAUCUCACUCAUCCAGGAAGAGGGGGAGAUCAGUUACUACUGUACUUUAUUGUGUUCAACCAAAUCACCAUGUUACAAAAAUAGCAAGCUGCCAUAAUAAAAAAUAAGGCUCCUCUAUCCAGCACCA